AGCGCAGACGGUUAUUUAAGCAAGAUGUGAAAGCCCUGGGCUCAACCUGGGAACUGCGUUUUGAACUGGGUAACUAGAGUGUGUCAGAGGGGGGUAGAAUUCCACGUGUAGCAGUGAAAUGCGUAGAGAUGUGGAGGAAUACCGAUGGCGAAGGCAGCCCCCUGGGAUAACACUGACGUUCAUGCUCGAAAGCGUGGGUAGCAAACA
rnacentral:rRNA from 1 species